rnacentral:rRNA from 1 species
UACGGGGGGGGCAAGCGUUGUUCGGAAUUACUGGGCGUAAAGGGCUCGUAGGUGGCCAACUAAGUCAGACGUGAAAUCCCUCGGCUUAACCGGGGAACUGCGUCUGAUACUGGAUGGCUUGAGUUCGGGAGAGGGAUGCGGAAUUCCAGGUGUAGCGGUGAAAUGCGUAGAUAUCUGGAGGAACACCGGUGGCGAAGGCGGCAUCCUGGGCCAACACUGACGCUCAUGCACGAAAGCGUGGGGAGCAAACAGG